CUGAUCCCUGAGGAAUUCUUCCCAUUCCUUUAUCCUAAAACUGGUGUAACAUGGCCCUACAUGCUUGGACAUGGGCUUAUCUUGUAUUUUCUAUCCAAAGAAAUAAAUGUAAUUAACUCAGAGACCUUCUCUAUCAUAUCAGUAGUAAGGCUGACUAUGGGAUUAAAAAUUAUAGUAACUUUAUAGAAUUUAUGGAUAAACUUAGUAAGCAAAAAUAUUGCUCAACUGGAAGUAAGGCAAGAGACCAUGAAAGGAAUUUAGGAUACAACUGACAUAGAGAAGGCACAGCAGGCGUGAAUUCAGGAAUACCUCUGACUUUUAGAAACAUGAUAUCAGCAUAGCCUUGGAGGUCACUUACUGGCAACAGCUUCAUAGGGUAUCAGUACAUGGAGGGAAAAAAUCACCUUGACUACCAUAUUUGUGGACAUGAUGUGGCAAAGGGACCAGGAAUAUAUGACAGACCGGGUGAAGAACAAGAUGCACAGCAUCAUUGUACAGCAGGGAAAGGAGACAACUGACAUGUGCCAAGUCUCUAUCUCAACUGAGACAGCAGAAAGAAUUCACUAAAUAAGAAAUG
rnacentral:lncRNA from 1 species